rnacentral:rRNA from 1 species
GGCGGGACACGUGGUAUCCUGUCUGAAUAUGGGGGGACCAUCCUCCAAGGCUAAAUACUCCUGACUGACCGAUAGUGAACCAGUACCGUGAGGGAAAGGCGAAAAGAACCCCGGCGAGGGGAGUGAAAAAGAACCUGAAACCGUGUACGUACAAGCAGUGGGAGCACCCUUUGGGGUGUGACUGCGUACCUUUUGUAUAAUGGGUCAGCGACUUAUAUUCUGUAGCAAGGUUAACCGAAUAGGGGAGCCGGAGGGAAACCGAGUCUUAAUUGGGCGUUAAGUUGCAGGGUAUAGACCCGAAACCCGGUGAUCUAGCCAUGGGCAGGUUGAAGGUUGGGUAACACUAACUGGAGGACCGAACCGACUAAUGUUGAAAAAUUAGCGGAUGACCUGUGGCUGGGGGUGAAAGGCCAAUCAAACCGGGAGAUAGCUGGUUCUCCCCGAAAGCUAUUUAGGUAGCGCCUCGUGAAUUCAUCUCCGGGGGUAGAGCACUGUUUCGGCUAGGGGGCCAUCCCGGCUUACCAACCCGAUGCAAACUGCGAAUACCGGAGAAUGUUAUCACGGGAGACACACGGCGGGUGCUAACGUCCGUCGUGAAGAGGGAAACAACCCAGACCGCCAGCUAAGGUCCCAAAGUCAUGGUUAAGUGGGAAACGAUGUGGGAAGGCCCAGACAGCCAGGAUGUUGGCUUAGAAGCAGCCAUCAUUUAAAGAAAGCGUAAUAGCUCACUGGUCGAGUCGGCCUGCGCGGAAGAUGUAACGGGGCUAAACCAUGCACCGAAGCUGCGGCAGCGACGCUGAUGCGUUGUUGGGUAGGGGAGCGUUCUGUAAGCCUGUGAAGGUGGCCUGUGAGGGUUGCUGGAGGUAUCAGAAGUGCGAAUGCUGACAUAAGUAACGAUAAAGCGGGUGAAAAGCCCGCUCGCCGGAAGACCAAGGGUUCCUGUCCAACGUUAAUCGGGGCAGGGUGAGUCGACCCCUAAGGCGAGGCCGAAAGGCGUAGUCGAUGGGAAACGGGUUAAUAUUCCCGUACUUGGUGUUACUGCGAAGGGGGGACGGAGAAGGCUAUGUUGGCCGGGCGACGGUUGUCCCGGUUUAAGCGUGUAGGCUGGUUUUCCAGGCAAAUCCGGAAAAUCAAGGCUGAGGCGUGACGACGAGGCACUACGGUGCUGAAGCAACAAAUGCCCUGCUUCCAGGAAAAGCCUCUAAGCAUCAGGUAACAUCAAAUCGUACCCCAAACCGACACAGGUGGUCAGGUAGAGAAUACCAAGGCGCUUGAGAGAACUCGGGUGAAGGAACUAGGCAAAAUGGUGCCGUAACUUCGGGAGAAGGCACGCUGACACGUAGGUGAAGUGAUUUACUCAUGGAGCUGAAGUCAGUCGAAGAUACCAGCUGGCUGCAACUGUUUAUUAAAAACACAGCACUGUGCAAACACGAAAGUGGACGUAUACGGUGUGACGCCUGCCCGGUGCCGGAAGGUUAAUUGAUGGGGUCAGCGCAAGCGAAGCUCCUGAUCGAAGCCCCGGUAAACGGCGGCCGUAACUAUAACGGUCCUAAGGUAGCGAAAUUCCUUGUCGGGUAAGUUCCGACCUGCACGAAUGGCGUAAUGAUGGCCAGGCUGUCUCCACCCGAGACUCAGUGAAAUUGAACUCGCUGUGAAGAUGCAGUGUACCCGCGGCAAGACGGAAAGACCCCGUGAACCUUUACUAUAGCUUGACACUGAACAUUGAGCCUUGAUGUGUAGGAUAGGUGGGAGGCUUUGAAGUGUGGACGCCAGUCUGCAUGGAGCCGGCCUUGAAAUACCACCCUUUAAUGUUUGAUGUUCUAACGUGGACCCGUGAUCCGGGUUGCGGACAGUGUCUGGUGGGUAGUUUGACUGGGGCGGUCUCCUCCUAAAGAGUAACGGAGGAGCACGAAGGUUGGCUAAUCCUGGUCGGACAUCAGGAGGUUAGUGCAAUGGCAUAAGCCAGCUUGACUGCGAGCGUGACGGCGCGAGCAGGUGCGAAAGCAGGUCAUAGUGAUCCGGUGGUUCUGAAUGGAAGGGCCAUCGCUCAACGGAUAAAAGGUACUCCGGGGAUAACAGGCUGAUACCGCCCAAGAGUUCAUAUCGACGGCGGUGUUUGGCACCUCGAUGUCGGCUCAUCACAUCCUGGGGCUGAAGUAGGUCCCAAGGGUAUGGCUGUUCGCCAUUUAAAGUGGUACGCGAGCUGGGUUUAGAACGUCGUGAGACAGUUCGGUCCCUAUCUGCCGUGGGCGCUGGAGAACUGAGGGGGGCUGCUCCUAGUACGAGAGGACCGGAGUGGACGCAUCACUGGUGUUCGGGUUGUCAUGCCAAUGGCACUGCCCGGUAGCUAAAUGCGGAAGAGAUAAGUGCUGAAAGCAUCUAAGCACGAAACUUGCCCCGAGAUGAGUUCUCCCUGAGACUUUAGGUCUCCUGAAGGAACGUUGAAGACGACGACGUUGAUAGGCCGGGUGUGUAAGCGCAGCGAUGCGUUGAGCUAACCGGUACUAAUGAACCGUGAGGCUUAACCUUACA